rnacentral:rRNA from 1 species
UACGAAGGGGGCUAGCGUUGCUCGGAAUUACUGGGCGUAAAGGGCGCGUAGGCGGACAGUUUAGUCAGAGGUGAAAGCCCAGGGCUCAACCUUGGAAAUGCCUUUGAUACUGACUGUCUUGAGUUCGGGAGAGGUGAGUGGAAAGCCGAGUGUAGAGGUGAAAUUCGUAGAUAUUCGGCGGAACACCAGUGGCGAAGGCGACUCACUGGCCCGAUACUGACGCUGAGGCGCGAAAGCGUGGGGAGCAAACAGG